rnacentral:rRNA from 1 species
UACGUAGGGGGCUAGCGUUGUCCGGAAUCAUUGGGCGUAAAGAGCGCGUAGGCGGCCCGGUAAGUCCGCUGUAAAAGUCCAGGGCUCAACCCUGGAAAGCCGGUGGAUACUGUCGGGCUCGAGUCCGGAAGAGGCGAGUGGAAUUCCUGGUGUAGCGGUGGAAUGCGCAGAUAUCAGGAGGAACACCAAUGGCGAAGGCAGCUCGCUGGGACGGUACUGACGCUGAGGCACGAAAGUGUGGGGAUCAAACAGG